rnacentral:misc_RNA from 1 species
AGCUAACCUAAAUAAUAAGAACUUCCCCCUUGACAGUGGUAUAUGUUGUAUAUGUAAAUCCUAGAUGUGAAAAUAUAUGGAAUUCCUCUAUGAAUCUAUGAAAGGUAUAAAAAAGAAAGAAAAACGCAAAGAAAAGAAUAGGCUAGGCAUAAAUCGAUAUGCUGAAAUUGAAAUAAAAAAGAAAUAAGAAGAGGAGCCCAUUAGAUACAAAUAAUGAAUCGUAAUAGAAAUAGAAAAUAAAGUUCAGGUUCGAAUUCCAUAGAAUCGAUAAUAUGGAUGGGCUUGUCUAUAAUGGUAGACAAAUGAAAGACUUUCUCAAGAUUUUGAUUCAUCCACUUGAGAUUGUUAAAUGAAAAUAGGUUGGGUGAGCUGCCAAAUUAACUCAGUCUCAUUGAAUAAGUAAACAAUUGGAUUGGUUCAAUUGCAUGGUGCCAACGAAAUCGAGUGCUAAUUCCGAUUUUAUUGAAUUAACCGAUCGACGUGCUAGCGGACAUUUUUUUUGAAUUCGAUAAUUUUGGAAAAAACAUUUCGACAUAUUUAUUUUAUUAUUAUGAGAAUCAAUCCUACUACUUCUGGUUCUGGGGUUUCCACGCUUGAAAAAAAAAACCCGGGGCGUGUCGUCCAAAUCAUCGGUCCGGUACUAGAUGUAGCCUUUCCCCCGGGCAAGAUGCCAAAUAUUUAUAACGCUCUGGUAGUUCAAGGUCGAGAUAGUGUUGGUCAACCAAUUAAUGUGGCUUGUGAGGUACAGCAAUUAUUAGGAAAUAAUCGAGUUAGGGCUGUAGCUAUGAGUACUACAGACGGUCUCACGAAAGGAAUAAAAGAGACUGAAGCAGGAGUUACUAUAACUGUUCCAGUCAAGGAUGGCUACAUCAUAAAACAAAAGCCAAGGACUGUGGAACUGCUGCACAGAAAAACAUCGACAAAACUGCACCAUAAAAACCUAUAUAACCUAAUAGCAGGAAUGGACCAACAUAAUUCCAUGAUCAGGACAACACAUUUUGAAUACUAUCUAUAAUUAUUAGCUGAUUAAGAUAAGUUGUCCCAUGUAACUGAGAGCUUCCAAAUAAAAUCACCUAAGCUACUCCAUAUAAUCACAGAACUUCCCCAUUAA